GAAGGGUGCAAGCGUUAAUCGGAAUUACUGGGCGUAAAGGGUGCGUAGGCGGUUCGUUAAGUCUGUCGUGAAAUCCCCGGGCUCAACCUGGGAAUGGCGAUGGAUACUGGCGAGCUAGAGUGUGUCARAGGAUGGUGGAAUUCCCGGUGUAGCGGUGAAAUGCGUAGAGAUCGGGAGGAACAUCAGUGGCGAAGGCGGCCAUCUGGGACAACACUGACGCUGAAGCACGAAAGCGUGGGGAGCAAACAGGGUUAGAUACCCUGGUAGUCCACGCCCUAAACGAUGCGAACUGGAUGUUGGUCUCAACUCGGAGAUCAGUGUCGAAGCUAACGCGUUAAGUUCGCCGCCUGGGGAGUACGGUCGCAAGACUG
rnacentral:rRNA from 1 species